GAUGAACGCUGGCGGCGUGCCUAAUACAUGCAAGUCGAGCGAACAGACGAGGAGCUUGCUCCUCUGACGUUAGCGGCGGACGGGUGAGUAACACGUGGAUAACCUACCUAUAAGACUGGGUUAACUUCGGGAAACCGGAGCUAAUACCGGAUAAUAUAUUGAACCGCAUGGUUCAAUAGUGAAAGACGGUUUUGCUGUCACUUAUAGAUGUAUCCGCGCCGCAUUAGCUAGUUGGUAAGGUAACGGCUUACCAAGGCAACGAUGCGUAGCCGACCUGAGAGGGUGAUCGGCCCCACUGGAACUGAGACACGGUCCAGACUCCUACGGGAGGCAGCAGUAGGGAAUCUUCCGCAAUGGGCGAAAGCCUGACGGAGCAACGCCGCGUGAGUGAUGAAGGUCUUCGGAUCGUAAAACUCUGUUAUUAGGGAAGAACAAAUGUGUAAGUAACUAUGCACGUCUUGACGGUACCUAAUCAGAAAGCCACGGCUAACUACGUG
rnacentral:rRNA from 1 species